rnacentral:rRNA from 1 species
GGGUUGUGAGGUUAAGCGACUAAGCGUACACGGUGGAUGCCCUGGCAGUCAGAGGCGAUGAAGGACGUGCUAAUCUGCGAAAAGCGUCGGUAAGGUGAUAUGAACCGUUACAGCCGGCGAUGUCCGAAUGGGGAAACCCAGUGCAAUUCGUUGCACUAUCGUUAACUGAAUACAUAGGUUAACGAGGCGAACCGGGGGAACUGAAACAUCUAAGUACCCCGAGGAAAAGAAAUCAACCGAGAUUCCCCCAGUAGCGGCGAGCGAACGGGGAGCAGCCCAGAGUCUGAAUCAGCUUGUGUGUUAGUGGAACGGUCUGGAAAGUCCGACGGUACAGGGUGAUAGUCCCGUACACCAAAAUGCACAGGCUGUGAACUCGAAGAGUAGGGCGGGACACGUGGUAUCCUGUCUGAAUAUGGGGGGACCAUCCUCCAAGGCUAAAUACUCCUGACUGACCGAUAGUGAACCAGUACCGUGAGGGAAAGGCGAAAAGAACCCCGGCGAGGGGAGUGAAAAAGAACCUGAAACCGUGUACGUACAAGCAGUGGGAGCACCUUCGGGUGUGACUGCGUACCUUUUGUAUAAUGGGUCAGCGACUUAUAUUCUGUAGCAAGGUUAACCGUAUAGGGGAGCCGCAGGGAAACCGAGUCUUAACUGGGCGUUAAGUUGCAGGGUAUAGACCCGAAACCCGGUGAUCUAGCCAUGGGCAGGUUGAAGGUUGGGUAACACUAACUGGAGGACCGAACCGACUAAUGUUGAAAAAUUAGCGGAUGACUUGUGGCUGGGGGUGAAAGGCCAAUCAAACCGGGAGAUAGCUGGUUCUCCCCGAAAGCUAUUUAGGUAGCGCCUCGUGAAUUCAUCUUCGGGGGUAGAGCACUGUUUCGGCUAGGGGGUCAUCCCGACUUACCAACCCGAUGCAAACUACGAAUACCGAAGAAUGUUAUCACGGGAGACACACGGCGGGUGCUAACGUCCGUCGUGAAGAGGGAAACAACCCAGACCGCCAGCUAAGGUCCCAAAGUCAUGGUUAAGUGGGAAACGAUGUGGGAAGGCACAGACAGCCAGGAUGUUGGCUUAGAAGCAGCCAUCAUUUAAAGAAAGCGUAAUAGCUCACUGGUCGAGUCGGCCUGCGCGGAAGAUGUAACGGGGCUAAACCAUGCACCGAAGCUGCGGCAGCGACACUAUGUGUUGUUGGGUAGGGGAGCGUUCUGUAAGCCUGCGAAGGUGACCUGUGAGGGUUGCUGGAGGUAUCAGAAGUGCGAAUGCUGACAUAAGUAACGAUAAAGCGGGUGAAAAGCCCGCUCGCCGGAAGACCAAGGGUUCCUGUCCAACGUUAAUCGGGGCAGGGUGAGUCGACCCCUAAGGCGAGGCCGAAAGGCGUAGUCGAUGGGAAACAGGUUAAUAUUCCUGUACUUGGUGUUACUGCGAAGGGGGGACGGAGAAGGCUAUGUUAGCCGGGCGACGGUUGUCCCGGUUUAAGCAUGUAGGCUGGUUAUCCAGGCAAAUCCGGAUAAUCAAGGCUGAGGUGUGAUGACGAGGCACUACGGUGCUGAAGUAACAAAUGCCCUGCUUCCAGGAAAAGCCUCUAAGCAUCAGGUAACAUCAAAUCGUACCCCAAACCGACACAGGUGGUCAGGUAGAGAAUACCAAGGCGCUUGAGAGAACUCGGGUGAAGGAACUAGGCAAAAUGGUGCCGUAACUUCGGGAGAAGGCACGCUGGUGUGUAGGUGAAGUCCCUGCGGAUGGAGCUGAGACCAGUCGAAGAUACCAGCUGGCUGCAACUGUUUAUUAAAAACACAGCACUGUGCAAACACGAAAGUGGACGUAUACGGUGUGACGCCUGCCCGGUGCCGGAAGGUUAAUUGAUGGGGUUAUCCGUAAGGAGAAGCUCUUGAUCGAAGCCCCGGUAAACGGCGGCCGUAACUAUAACGGUCCUAAGGUAGCGAAAUUCCUUGUCGGGUAAGUUCCGACCUGCACGAAUGGCGUAAUGAUGGCCAGGCUGUCUCCACCCGAGACUCAGUGAAAUUGAACUCGCUGUGAAGAUGCAGUGUACCCGCGGCAAGACGGAAAGACCCCGUGAACCUUUACUAUAGCUUGACACUGAACAUUGAGCCUUGAUGUGUAGGAUAGGUGGGAGGCUUUGAAGCGUGGACGCCAGUCUGCGUGGAGCCAACCUUGAAAUACCACCCUUUAAUGUUUGAUGUUCUAACGUUGGCCCCUGACCGGGGUUGCGGACAGUGUCUGGUGGGUAGUUUGACUGGGGCGGUCUCCUCCCAAAGCGUAACGGAGGAGCACGAAGGUUAGCUAAUCCUGGUCGGACAUCAGGAGGUUAGUGCAAUGGCAUAAGCUAGCUUGACUGCGAGCGUGACGGCGCGAGCAGGUGCGAAAGCAGGUCAUAGUGAUCCGGUGGUUCUGAAUGGAAGGGCCAUCGCUCAACGGAUAAAAGGUACUCCGGGGAUAACAGGCUGAUACCGCCCAAGAGUUCAUAUCGACGGCGGUGUUUGGCACCUCGAUGUCGGCUCAUCACAUCCUGGGGCUGAAGUAGGUCCCAAGGGUAUGGCUGUUCGCCAUUUAAAGUGGUACGCGAGCUGGGUUUAGAACGUCGUGAGACAGUUCGGUCCCUAUCUGCCGUGGGCGCUGGAGAAUUGAGGGGGGCUGCUCCUAGUACGAGAGGACCGGAGUGGACGCAUCACUGGUGUUCGGGUUGUCAUGCCAAUGGCACUGCCCGGUAGCUAAAUGCGGAAGAGAUAAGUGCUGAAAGCAUCUAAGCACGAAACUUGCCCCGAGAUGAGUUCUCCCUGAGACUUUAAGUCUCCUGAAGGAACGUU